UAGCCCCCGAAUCCUAAUCCUCUAAUCCUCCUCCGAGACAUGGCGACGACGACGACGACGAUCGUAUCCCGGUGCCCAUUGCUUCACUCAAUCGGUCAGAGGAGCCUCACAGUGAUUCCGGCGGCUCCACUGGGCCCCUCUUUCAUUAGGUUCUUUGGAAGACCGACGAGUCAAUUACGGAUAGUAUGUAUGGCGUCGUCUGCUGCAGGGAACCCAUACGAGAGUGGUGAUGAAAACCCAUACGUGUUAGCACAUAUGUUCUCCAAAUUUAUCAGUCCAAGCUGCGUGACUGUUUGUAAUGAUUUUGGUGGCAGAUAAAAGGGUUUGAUAUGGUGAGACUGCAUAUACAAGAAAGCGUAAGGAUGCAGAGCGAAGGGGCGAUGAAGUAUAUGUUGCCAAACUAGAGAAGGCUUAUGACAUAAUUAUGGUGUCACAGCUACAUAGUAGGAAAGGUUUGACAUUUGGGUCAUUUAAGAUCAUAUUAUUUUAUAACUUUCAUUUUCUUUAUUUUUCUUGGUGCAACAAUUGGAGAAUCAGCUAGAUAUGAGUCUCUCUUCAGAAAAAAAUGAU